AUGAUCAAAUUCAAAAUGAUCGAUCUGUGUGGUAAUUGGAUUCGACUUUAAUGCGCAAAUCUGAACAUUAUCAAUUUCAUGGUUAU
rnacentral:tRNA from 1 species